UACGGAGGAUGCGAGCGUUAUCCGGAUUUAUUGGGUUUAAAGGGUGCGUAGGCGGACUGUCAAGUCAGCGGUAAAAUUGAGAGGCUCAACCUCUUCCCGCCGUUGAAACUGGUGGUCUUGAGUGGAUGAGAAGAACGCGGAAUGCGUGGUGUAGCGGUGAAAUGCAUAGAUAUCACGCAGAACUCCGAUUGCGAAGGCAGCGUACCGGCAUCCAACUGACGCUGAGGCACGAAAGCGUGGGGAUCAAACAGG
rnacentral:rRNA from 1 species